rnacentral:piRNA from 1 species
UAGGUGACAGAGGCAACCCAGAACAAUCUU